rnacentral:piRNA from 1 species
UAAGACGGGUGCGCGCAAGAGGUUAUCCUC